rnacentral:rRNA from 1 species
CCCUUAGACGUUCUGGGCCGCACGCGCGCUACACUGACACAGGCAACGAGCUUUCCUUUACCGAAAGGUAUGGGUAAUCUUUUGAAACUGUGUCGUGCUGGGGAUAGAUCCUUGCAAUUUUUGAUCUUAAACGAGGAAUUCCUAGUAAGCGCGAGUCAUCAACUCGCGUUGAUUACGUCCCUGCCCUUUGUACACACCGCCCGUCGCUACUACCGAUUGAAUGGCUUAGUGAGGCCUCAGGAUCCGCGCUUAAUGUGUGGAGAAUUUGGACAAACUACGUCAUUUAGAGGAAGUAAGAGUCGUAACA